AGAGUUUGAUCCUGGCUCAGGACGAACGCUGGCGGCGUGCUUAACACAUGCAAGUCGAACGGAAAGGCCCUUCGGGGUACUCGAGUGGCGAACGGGUGAGUAACACGUGGGUGAUCUGCCCUGCACUUUGGGAUAAGCCUGGGAAACUGGGUCUAAUACCGAAUAUGACCAUGCGCCUCCUGGUGUGUGGUGGAAAGCUUUUGCGGUGUGGGAUGGGCCCGCGGCCUAUCAGCUUGUUGGUGGGGUAAUGGCCUACCAAGGCGACGACGGGUAGCCGGCCUGAGAGGGUGACCGGCCACACUGGGACUGAGAUACGGCCCAGACUCCUAUGGGAGGCAGCAGUGGGGAAUAUUGCACAAUGGGCGCAAGCCUGAUGCAGCGACGCCGCGUGAGGGAUGACGGCCUUCGGGUUGUAAACCUCUUUCAGCACAGACGAAGCGCAAGUGACGGUAUGUGCAGAAGAAGGACCGGCCAACUACGUGCCAGCAGCCGCGGUAAUACGUAGGGUCCGAGCGUUGUCCGGAAUUACUGGGCGUAAAGAGCUCGUAGGUGGUUUGUCGCGUUGUUCGUGAAAACUCACAGCUUAACUGUGGGCGUGCGGGCGAUACGGGCAGACUUGAGUACUGCAGGGGAGACUGGAAUUCCUGGUGUAGCGGUGGAAUGCGCAGAUAUCAGGAGGAACACCGGUGGCGAAGGCGGGUCUCUGGGCAGUAACUGACGCUGAGGAGCGAAAGCGUGGGGAGCGAACAGGAUUAGAUACCCUGGUAGUCC
rnacentral:rRNA from 1 species